UACGUAGGUGGCAAGCGUUGUCCGGAAUUAUUGGGCGUAAAGCGCGCGCAGGCGGUCCUUUAAGUCUGAUGUGAAAGCCCACGGCUCAACCGUGGAGGGUCAUUGGAAACUGGGGGGACUUGAGUGCAGGAGAGAAGAGUGGAAUUCCACGUGUAGCGGUGAAAUCGUAGAGAUGUGGAGGAACACCAGUGGCGAAGGCGACUCUUUGGCCUGUAACUGACGCUGAGGCGCGAAAGCGUGGGGAGCAAACAGG
rnacentral:rRNA from 1 species